GCGCUGGUGGUGUAAGGCGAACAUCGCUGCCCGGAAAGCAGAAGUUGCGGGUUCGAGUCCCGCCUGGCGCA
rnacentral:tRNA from 1 species